rnacentral:miRNA from 1 species
CUCAGUGGCAGCAGCCCCUU